AGCCACCGCCCCGGGGCAGCCCGGAGCCCCCUGCGCUGCACAGCGCGCGCUCUCCCCGCUCCCUGCCGGGAGGGUCGGGGUGGCUAGAGGACAGCAGCCAGCAGAGACUUGGGGGCAGCACGCGCCGCUCACUAUCAGUUUGUAAACUGCGCGGCGCCGUGGCUGCGAAUGAGGCCUGCGGCGCAUGCGCAUAAAUAGACCGUACUGCGCAUUCGCAAUACGUGCAUGGCUGAACCGCCCCCACCUUUGCGAGCCAACUACGGAUGCUCCCCUGCCCUACUCGCGCCCCCGGUCGGCCCGUACGCGCAUGCGUUUCCUCUCUGCGCGAAACAAAACCAGGGCCCUCAACCCGGCGCGGCUCAUGGACCCAGCCUGCGCAGUUUCCCACACAGCGACACUGAAUAACCCCAACCGCUUCUGUCGUGGUACACGCGGCCCCGCAGCCACGGUCCCCACGCUGGGCGCGGGCCCUAUCCCCCCGCUGCCCCUACAGGCCGGCCAUUCCCUGACCCUCACCUGCCCAACACAAGCGGCAGGCGGAGCUGAGCGUCUCUGAACCCCGCCAGGUGGGGAGCGCACUCAUCGGUGGGCUCUAGAGUUCCCCACCCCCCGGGAAAGAGCCUGCUCGCUUCACUAACUGCAGUCUCGCUUGUUCGGAGGAGAGUGACCAAGAGACAUGGGUCAACGCCACCAGAGCACAGAGUACCUAUUACUACUCUGCCCAGCUCAUUCAGGAGAACUCUAGAUUUCACCCUGAGUUUCCCAAAAGAGAAUCAGAAAUGCUGGAAAAGCUGCAGAUAAGAGACAGAAGAGGAGCAAAGAACUGAGGUAUUUGGAAAACCUCCACUAUAAACAUCAAAUGUGGCUUCAUGAAAUGACAAUCAAGUUAAGACUUUCUCCUGUAAAGGGACAUGGUGGCUACUUAAGUGGCUGAAGUCAUUUUACUCUAGAAGUCCCAGAGAUAGUACUGACAUUAAUUGAAACUUAAAUUUAGCAUCGGACUGACCGCAACUAAAAACAGUUCUGCUGGGAAGAGUUGCACUUAGCAACUUGUCUUGCUUUCAGCUAUUUUAAGUGUUCAGCCAUGUCUACAUACACUACAACUCCCAUCAAUAUUAAUCCCAAAUAAGUCAAUGGAGGCUUUUUUGGGUGGAUUCUGACAACCCCAAAAGAGGUGCCUGUUUUAGAUGUUAAAGACGACUUUAAAAAUGAUGAGAUUAAGCAAAAGUACUGAAGAGCUACCUACAGUAAGCAUUGAGAGUCUUGUUAAAGGAAAUGGCUCAAGCAGGAAGCAGGCAACCAAGACUUGUCAGCCUAAACUGUUGGUUCUUUUUAUUUUUUUAAAAAUGUAAAACUGUACUUUAAAAAUUGCAGUCUCUUUGGUUUCAAGUGUUGAUAAUCUGCUUUGGGGACAAUGUUUAAAACUCAAUGUGUGUUAUGACUUAAGUUUCAGUCUAUGUUUUAGGGAUAGAAAGUGUUGGCAUUAAAACUGUACACUACCUGUAAAGGGAUGGGAAAAGUCACAUGCCUACAAGCUACCACUGUCCUCAAGACUCCCUUUUGCCACAAGGCCUACAGAAACCUUGACAAUGGUGAUUAAGUUUUAUAGUGAACUCCAUACCAUGCACCCCCUUUUCUUGUCUCUAGUGCAAGACCUUCAAUGCAGGAACUGUCUGAUUACAGUAGUACCAUACAAAGACUACCACAACAGGACUGGCUGGGGUCCCUAGAUGCUACAAUAAAUAGUUAAACUCUUGGGAUUGUCAGCAUUUGUUCCCUUGUUAUUACCUUCUAGUUUCAUUUAAGCAGAUACUGGGUAGAAGAAAAAAACCAAACAAACCCAAGAAAUAGGAUCAGUUCGGGUCUCCUCUAUAUAAGGGCUGUGACUCUUUAGUGCACACCACUCUGUUAGAUAUUGCUCAUCAGAUAGCAUUAUAAACACUUAACUAGCUGUCUGAAGA